UACAGAGGUCCCGAGCGUUGUUCGGAUUCACUGGGCGUAAAGGGUGCGUAGGUGGUGAGGUAAGUCGGAUGUGAAAUCUCCGGGCUCAACCCGGAAAUGGCACUGGAAACUACCUUGCUGGAGGAUUUGAGGGGGGAUUGGAAUACUUGGUGUAGCAGUGAAAUGCGUAGAUAUCAAGUGGAACACCAGUGGCGAAGGCGAAUCCCUGGAAAAUACCUGACACUGAGGCACGAAAGCUAGGGGAGCAAACAGG
rnacentral:rRNA from 1 species